CUUUGUUUGGAUGUGGGAUGGGCCUGGGAACGUUGCGUCAAAGCAUUGAAUAAUAUAUUCACGCAGGCCGUAGUGGGCAACACUUAUAAUUCGCAUGACCGUGAGGUCACAAAUUUAACACUGCUGGGAACUCCACAGAAAAUGUCUACUCGUCUGUAUCCACUGUACCAGCGAGGUAAUCCGCAAUUGCGGAUAUUCCUUCCAAACUUCUGGAUGAAGUUGAUACGUCCAAAGCACAAAAUCCCAUCAAAUGCUGUUCAGUUCAUUGUGUCACCUGAGAUGACCAAACUUGAUGUCAAGCAAUACCUGGAGAAGAUAUACAAUGUACCUGUGGUCCAAGUCAGCAUCUCUAACAGACUAGGUCAAUUUCGCAAAUUGGAGGGAAAGGGAUACAUAGUCAAGGAUGAUGACAUUAAAUAUGCCUUUGUCACCUUGCCAAAGGACAUGGUAUUUGAGUUUCCGAAUCUGCUGCCCGAGGAGAAGCAGAAGGAGCUGUCGGACCAGAUGAAGGAGAUCGAGCUUGCGAGGGAUACGUACAAGAAGGACCAGGAACGCUUCAAAGACAGGCCCGGUGUGCCCACCUGGUUCAACUAGUCCGCCGUCUGUCCGGCUUCAUGUGCGCUGACUUUGGAUGGGAGGUGUGCGAGAGUCGCGUCGACCGCGCUCAUUAGCCAGGUGACAGAUGAAUACGUGAGGAACAUGUACUGUAUGCUGCCCCUUUUGACUGUAGACCUGUUGCCCAGCGGACGUCGAGUCGUCUACAGUCAUGUGACCACUCGUGAUUGUUUCGUCGCCUUGGCGCCUGUUAUCAUGCUCAUUUUUAUGGAAGAUGAUAGCGACAUUUCAGGU
rnacentral:lncRNA from 1 species